UGCCAGCCGCCGCGGUAAUACGGAGGGGGUUAGCGUUGUUCGGAAUUACUGGGCGUAAAGCGCACGUAGGCGGACUGGAAAGUUGGGGGUGAAAUCCCAGGGCUCAACCCUGGAACUGCCUCCAAAACUAUUCGUCUUGAGUCCGGGAGAGGUGUGUGGAAUUCCCAGUGUAGCGGUGAAAUGCGUAGAUAUUGGGAGGAACACCGGUGGCGAAGGCGACACACUGGACCGGUACUGACGCUGAGGCGCGAAAGCCAGGGGAGCAAACAGGAUUAGAUA
rnacentral:rRNA from 1 species